rnacentral:sRNA from 1 species
CGGGGGACGGACUGGGAA